CCUGUAAGCACAUACACACAGAGUUCUGAAGGCUAGGUCUCCUUUCCUUCUGGUUUAGAGUUUUCAGAGUACCCUGCUGUGGCCUUGGAAACAGAAAACCCACACAGAGGUCAAACGCAGUUCUCGUGGAGUCACCUUGUCAUCCUGCUUUGUUUUGGAAGGAACUGGGUCGGAGGCAGCACAGUAGGACUACAGCAUCUUUAACCCUUGCUUUUAAAAUCCAUGGAACUCUAUCACCAGGAGAUGAUUGUGGUAUGGAGCUGAUCACCCCGGAGUUAGUGGGGUGGCAACUGAGAUCGGGGGGAAAUGGAGCAGUUUGAGGAUAUAUGGGCCGUGAAAACCUCCCAGCUCUGCCCCCAGCCAUGCCAUGAAAGUCAUGGGGAAGAAAGGCCCCCAUUUGUGUGUUUGUGUUAUUAAAUAGAACAGUAACAGAGCAGGUCUCUGAGCCUGCCUGGCAGAAAUCUUUCUGUAGCAGGAGUGUCCUGCAACUCUCUGGUGGAUUUGCAAAACAGUACAGAUAGAAAAACUUAAAUGGGAAACAAGCUUGUCUUGUCCUACUUUGUGGAGAUAGAUAAUAAAGCCGAAAGGCCAAGAAGUGUAAAUAUAUAGCAUAUAUCUAAUGUAUAUGGUAUAUGUACAUAUCAAUCUAUAGCUAUGCAAUAUCUACACUAUUUAUCUAUGUUUAUACGAUGACUCUAGGCUUCAGAAGACCUGUCAAAGAUUUCCAUACAUCUAGAGAAUUUAGAAGGAUCCCUUUAUAGGUGAGAGUUGAGACUUUUUGGCUGCAGGUUGGGAUUUGGUGGACUAGUUCCUGGUACCACCACCUAGUUGCCGUGAUUAUCUUUAGACUAACCAAGGCCCUUGUGUUAGCCUUCCGUAAAUCAUCCCCACCCCUAAGCAAGACAGCACCUAUACCUUCAC
rnacentral:lncRNA from 1 species